rnacentral:rRNA from 1 species
UACGAAGGUGGCAAGCGUUGUUCGGAUUUACUGGGCGUAAAGGGAGCGUAGGUGGUGGGGUAAGCCCCGCGGGAAAGCUCCAGGCUUAACCUGGAAAGGUCGCGGGGGACUGCUCCGCUCGAGGACGGGAGAGGAGCGCGGAAUUCCCGGUGUAGCGGUGAAAUGCGUAGAGAUCGGGAGGAAGGCCGGUGGCGAAGGCGGCGCUCUGGAACGGCCCUGACACUGAGGCUCGAGAGCGUGGGGAGCAAACAGG